rnacentral:rRNA from 1 species
UACGAAGGGGGCUAGCGUUGCUCGGAAUUACUGGGUGUAAAGGGCGCGUAGGCGGAUAGUUUAGUCAGAGGUGAAAGCCCAGGGCUCAACCCUGGAAUUGGCCUUUGAUACUGGCUAUCUUGAGUUCGGGAGAGGUGAGUGGAACUCCGAGUGUAGAGGUGAAAUUCGUAGAUAUUCGGAAGAACACCAGUGGCGAAGGCGACUCACUGGCCCGAUACUGACGCUGAGGCGCGAAAGCGUGGGGAGCAAACAG